rnacentral:rRNA from 1 species
UACGUAGGGGGCUAGCGUUGUCCGGAAUCAUUGGGCGUAAAGCGCGUGUAGGCGGUCCGGUAAGUCCGCUGUGAAAGUCCAGGGCUCAACCCUGGAAUGCCGGUGGAUACUGUCGGGCUCGAGUCCGGAAGAGGCGAGUGGAAUUCCUGGUGUAGCGGUGAAAUGCGCAGAUAUCGUAAGGAAGACCAGUGGCGAAGGCGGGUCUCGUGGACAGUUCCUGACGCUGAGGCACGAAGGCCAGGGGAGCAAACGGG